GGGGGCGACAAGGUUUCGACGGGGGCACAGACGUUCCCGGUCGCGUGUCGAGUGGGCUUUCACACUCGUAAAUCAAAGAGGGCAAAAACCACAAAAGCCAACGACAACGUUGAGCUUGCGCUGGCCGCCUAAAAACCGGUCACUGCACGGUCGCUUCAUUUUCUGUCGGUGAGGUGAAGAUCGACCGCCAUAAUGCCGGCUGGUUCUCCGAGUACCUGAGCGAGGAGAACGAGAAAGAGUCAGGAUCGGUUCUCUCACCAUCUCGUCCGUUGGAGUGUGAGGGGCUUAAAGAAACAAAGAUCGGACUACGCACGUAGUGACUUGGAACUGAAGGCUUUCGGACCCGGGUUCGAUUCCCGGCGCCUCCACUG
rnacentral:tmRNA from 1 species